CUGAUGCGUAGUAAAAUUCGCAGACCAGGCUUUUCUGCUGGCGGCCGGAACGCACUAUAUCUUUUUGUUUGACCUCGGAUCAGGUAGGGAUACCCGCUGAACUUAAGCAUAUCAAUAAGCGGAGGAAAAGAAACCAACAGGGAUUGCCCUAGUAACGGCGAGUGAAGCGGCAACAGCUCAAAUUUGAAAUCUGGCCCUCUGCGGGGUCCGAGUUGUAAUUUGUAGAGGGUGUUUCGGCGCAGUCCCCAGCCUAAGUUCCUUGGAACGGGACGUCAUAGAGGGUGAGAACCCCGUAUGCGGCUGGUGUGCUGUGCUAUGUGAAACCCCUUCGACGAGUCGAGUUGUUUGGGAAUGCAGCUCUAAAUGGGAGGUAUAUUUCUUCUAAAGCUAAAUACUGGCCAGAGACCGAUAGCGCACAAGUAGAGUGAUCGAAAGAUGAAAAGCACUUUGGAAAGAGAGUCAAACAGCACGUGAAAUUGUUGAAAGGGAAGCGCUUGCCACCAGACUUGUUGGCCGUCGUUCAUCCCAGGAUUUCCCCGGGUGCAUUCGGCGGCGGACAGGCCAGCAUC
rnacentral:rRNA from 1 species